rnacentral:rRNA from 1 species
GUGUCAGCAGCCGCGGUAAUACGUAGGGGGCAAGCGUUGUCCGGAAUCAUUGGGCGUAAAGAGCGUGUAGGCGGCCUGAUAAGUCGGCUGUGAAAGUCAAGGGCUCAACCCUUGAAUGCCGGCCGAUACUGUCAGGCUAGAAUCCGGAAGAGGCGAGUGGAAUUCCUGGUGUAGCGGUGAAAUGCGCAGAUAUCAGGAGGAACACCUAUGGCGAAGGCAGCUCGCUGGGACGGUAUUGACGCUGAGACGCGAAAGCGUGGGGAGCGAACAGGAUUAGAUACCCCUGUAGUCC